rnacentral:rRNA from 1 species
GUGAGGAAUCUUCCACAAUGGGCGAAAGCCUGAUGGAGCAACGCCGCGUGAAGGAUGAAGGUCUUCGGAUUGUAAACUUCUUUUAUGAGUGAAGAAUAUGACGGUAACUCAUGAAUAAGCACCGGCUAACUACGUGCCAGCAGCCGCGGUCAUUCGUAGGGUGCAAGCAUUAUCCGGAGUGACUGGGCGUAAAGAGUUGCGUAGGCGGUUAUGUAAGCGAAUAGUGAAACCUGGUGGCUCAACCACACAGACUAUUAUUCGAACUGCAUAACUCGAGAAUGGUAGAGGUAACUGGAAUUUCUUGUGUAGGAGUGAAAUCCGUAGAUAUAAGAAGGAACACCAAUGGCGUAGGCAGGUUACUGGGCCAUUUCUGACGCUAAGGCACGAAAGCGUGGGGAGCGAACCGGAUUAGAAACCCCAGUAGUCC